rnacentral:rRNA from 1 species
GUGUGCGCGAGUCAUUGGGUGUCAAAACCUAAAGGCGUAAUGAAAGUGAAGGAAACUUUGUUUUUGAGGGAGGAUGGGUUAGGUACCUUUUUUAAAGGACCGGCCUCGCACUCCCGGGGCGUCUCUAUCUCAUUGCGAGAGGAGGCGCACCUAGAGCGUACACGCUGAUACCCGAAAGAUGGUGAACUAUGCCUGGCCAGGACGAAGCCAGGGGAAACCCUGGUGGAGGUCCGCAGCGAUUCUGACGUGCAAAUCGAUCGUCGGAGCUGGGUUUAGGGGCGAAAGACCAAUCGAACCAUCUAGUAGCUGGUUCCCUCUGAAGUUUCCCUCAGGAUAGCUUGCGCUCGGAAACAACGAGUCUCAUCCGGUAGAGCGAAUGAUUAGAGGCCUUGGGGUCGAAACGACCUCAACCUAUUCUCAAACUCCAAAUAGAUGAGAACCCCGGCUUUCUUGAACUCUGUUUAUGAAGCCGGGGGCUCGGAUCAGAGUGCCAAGUGGGCCAAUUUUGG